GAUAAACAUUUGUCGCAGAGAUGAACAAUAAUAGUCAAUCUUGAUGUCUUUAAUCACCUUAUUUUAAACAUUUAAUGGAACUGAUUGUGACACAAGUUGUAUAAUAUGAUGUGGCGAGCAUUGAUACUUGUUUUGGCCGCUAACUGUAUAGUAUCAGAAUACACAAUAAUUUCGCCAGCUUUCAAUGAUGUAUUGGUGAACAGCAGUUUGGAAUUGGCAUGUUAUACUAACAAAAAUGUAACUGUUACACAAUGGGGAAGUUUAAAUCACUUGGACACAUUUUCGCACCUGUAUCUUUCGGACAAUGGAAGCUGUAAAACAGAUGGGUUCCUAGCUGACAAACGAUAUUUUGAAACGAGUUGCUAUAGUAACGGCACCUUCAAAAUAAACAUAAAACGUGUAAAUUUAAGUAACCAUGGUCAAGAAUGGUAUUGCUACGGCGAUAAAAGAAAAAGUAAUAUUGCUAAUAUUACUGUUCGAGGUAAGAAUGUGUUAUUUUAGUAUA